GAACCCAACUUAAGACAACUGGCUUCGAAGGUGUCCCAGGAACUAGUCCUAAGGACAGGAUUCUAGUCUGUUCAAUGGCUGGCUUGGUGGCAAGAAGGACCCCUCCAGUGGAGAGAUUUUGAUCCUUCUCAUUAUUCCUCUAAACCUGGACCCAGGAACAGCUAGUCAGAGAGCAAGCCUUUGGAGGGGGCAAAAUAUCACACUUCUCAGCCAGAUGUUUCUCCGUGGGGACUAAGAUUGUGCUUACUGCUAUACCUCCAAGUGUCCCGGCCAAGUUCACACCCAACAAAAAAUGGUUUCCCAAAAGAUGUGGCCUUGGCAUGCUGGGCCACAAUGGCAAGAAUACUCAAGAGGAGACCCCACACCUUUGGGCAUGGGCACAAGCAGAUCCAGCAUCUUCUGG